rfam:Parcubacteria group bacterium RIFCSPLOWO2_01_FTLL_48_18 rifcsplowo2_01_scaffold_830, whole genome shotgun sequence.
UCGGCAAGCUAGGUGAUCGCCGAGCACUCAACAGUAGUUGAGUGCUCGGAGGAAAGUCCGGACACCCUCGUCCUUCGGACAAACUACGUUUCGCCCGGGGGGCGAGAAGCGGGUAGCGGCUAACAGCCGCGAGGAACAAUCCUACGGAAAGUGCAACAGAAAAUAUACCGCCAAUUUUGUCCGCCGCAGGCGAGUUACAAAAUUGAGCGUCCCGAGGAGUGGAACGACGAGGGACAACCCUUCGCUUCGCUCAGGCCUUCGGCUCUGAGAGAGACUCAGGCUCGAAGAGAUGCUCGAUUUUGCACCACCUUCGGUGGGCAAAAUCGGCAAGGGUGAAAUCGUGCGGCCCGCCUACGCGGGAUAAGUUCGCUUCGGCGGACGAGCAAGAGCGCACGACCGGAGAAAGUAAUUUUUCUGGUUUGAAAACUCCUACCCGGUGCAAGGCCGUACCACUAGUGCUUCGCACUGGAAAUUCGAAACUUGAAUAUCGAAAUUCGAAACGAUUUCCGAACAAUUUCCGAAAUUCUAAAUUCUCCGCCAGGGGCGGAUCCGCCUUCGGCGGAAAAUGUUCAAAACUUUUUGGCAUUUGCAUUUUGAUCAUUAGGAUUUGUUUCGGGUUUCGGAUUUAGGAUUUCGUGCUUCCAAUGCGGGGCAUUGGCUGGGGUGCCGCAAAUCCCGAGUAUAAUCGAGGGAUUGAGCCCGAGAAUAAUCGAGGGCACAGAUAGAUGAUCGCCGCCAUCCGCCAGCCGGCGGACGGCACAGAAUCCGGCUUAUUGUUUGCCGAAUCA